rnacentral:snoRNA from 1 species
AGGUCAUUCGGCUAGUGCAGCGGGGUGCGUGGGAGGUGUCCCCUAUUAAAGGGACCCAAUUAACGCAGUGACCACAGAAUGAAAUUCUCCACAAUAUGUCGUAGUCACUCAGUAGUGCUAUGUUUUUCUGAGGAGAUAACAAU